rnacentral:rRNA from 1 species
CCUACGGGAGUCAGCAGUGAGGAAUAUUGGUCAAUGGAGGCAAAUCUGAACCAGCCAUGCCGCGUGCAGGAAGACUGCCCUAUGGGUUGUAAACUGCUUUUAUACAGGAAGAAACACUCCCUCGUGAGGGAGCUUGACGGUACUGUACCAAUAAGGAACGGCUAACUCCGUACCAGCAGCCGCGGUAA